rnacentral:lncRNA from 1 species
UUGGGGGUUCCUUUUUUUUCUUAUUUCUUUUUCCUUCCCAGAAGAGGGGCCUAAUUCCCUAAUUCCCAGUUACUGAAUUAUUCCCAAGGGGCCUCAGGCUGUUGUUUUUUUUAUUUUCCCAGAUACGAUAAAAAACCCAACUCAGGGCAGAUUCCUGCAGGGAGAGGAUUGCAAGGGAAGCUCAGACUCUGCAGGGACAAGCACCAACUGUUUGGGUCCCUUUCCUUUACCAAAAUCCUGCAUUUAAAUGGACCCAGAGGUUUUGAACCGCAGAAAGAAGAAACUGAGGAUCAAAUAAGCCGGGGUGGUGUGGAUUGAUCAGAGCAGAACCUUUGGGAUUUACCAGCCACUCCUGGAAGGGCCAAAGCCACCAUGACCCAUCAAUUCCUGCCAGCCCCAAGAACAGAUGAAAGAGGCUCGUUUUUGUUUUUUCUAAAGAGAGAAGCGUUGGAGCGAGCCUUGGGAAGCCUGGCUGAGGUUUGGAGCUGGUUUUUCAUCUUUCAUUGGAGCUCAGAUGUCAGCAGGGAAACACACACAGAAAGCAGAGAUUUGCUUUGGAAACAACCACAAAAAGCGGCUCUGAAGCUGCUGACCGGUGACCCCAGCACAAAAGUGGAGGUAGCAGAGCCGCAAAUACAUUAAAAAUUAAUCAUAUUUAUCCCUCCCUGUAUUUAAAGACCAGUUUAAGUUCUGAACUUCUCCCAGGCUGCCCAGGAGCUGCCUUGGAUUUGUUCUUGGCUGUAAAGUGGGGCUGGUGACAUUCCCAAAGCCCAGAAAUUCUGGGUGUCUCCUUGAAACCCUUUGGUGAAAGAGCAGAAACAAAACCGCGCCAGCUCUAAAAGGAAAUCCCUGCAGACAAAAACCUCAACAAUUUCGUCUCGUUGCCGUUGUUAUCGACCAAAGUUUGCGGUGUUUUCCUAUCAAACCCCCGUGAAUUCUGCUGCUCGAGCAGGGACUUGGGAGAUGACCUGGGCAGGAGCAGGGAGAGGCUCCCAGGAGCUGGAUUUCAUUUGGAAUUCCGAUCCAGCCCACGGCUCCAGCUCCAAGCCCUUUAUUCCCGCAAGUGGCGC